CCCAGUUCAAAUUGUGGGUUUGAAAGUUGUGAGCUGGUUGUGAGCCGGUUCACUUGAACCAGCCAACUGUCCAGUCUGUUUGAUCAAACCAGUGUGACCUGGUUCAAGCAGCUCUGCUUGUAAAGUGGAAUCUGGACCCCAUGGAGACUGCAAUGUGUCUCUGUUUACUGUGCACAAAAGUACAUUACACUCCGCAUGGGAUCCCAGCUGCCUACUGUGAAUUAUGCCCCCAAAAUAAAUUCUAUCAGCGGAAUAAAUUAUGCUAAGAAUCUGGAUCUAUGGAGGCAAUAUAGUUGGAGUCAAUCCAGGGACACCAUUGCAGACUCAGAGACUACAAAAGAUGUCAAAAGAUUCCAUAAGAUCAUUUUUGGAUACAUUCAAAUUAAAAUGUGAAAAUGCA